GAUGAACGCUGGCGGCGUGCCUAAUACAUGCAAGUCGAGCGAACGGACGAGAAGCUUGCUUCUCUGACGUUAGCGGCGGACGGGUGAGUAACACGUGGAUAACCUACCUAUAAGACUGGGAUAACUUCGGGAAACCGGAGCUAAUACCGGAUGAUAUUUUGAACCGCAUGGUUCAAUAGUGAAAGACGGUCUUGCUGUCACUUAUAGAUGGAUCCGCGCUGCAUUAGCUAGUUGGUAAGGUAACGGCUUACCAAGGCAACGAUGCAUAGCCGACCUGAGAGGGUGAUCGGCCACAAUGGAACUGAGACACGGUCCAGACUCCUACGGGAGGCAGCAGUAGGGAAUCUUCCGCAAUGGGCGAAAGCCUGACGGAGCAACGCCGCGUGAGUGAUGAAGGUCUUCGGAUCGUAAAACUCUGUUAUUAGGGAAGAACAUAUGUGUAAGUAACUGUGCACAUCUUGACGGUACCUAAUCAGAAAGCCACGGCUAACUACGUG
rnacentral:rRNA from 1 species